UACGGAGGGUGCAAGCGUUAUCCGGAUUUACUGGGUUUAAAGGGCGCGUAGGUGGUUGAGUAAGUCAGGUGUGAAAGCUCUGGGCUUAACCCAGGAAUUGCAUCUGAUACUGCUCGGCUUGAGUACGGUAGAGGAGGGUGGAAUUCCCAGUGUAGCGGUGAAAUGCGUAGAUAUUGGGAAGAACACCGGUGGCGAAGGCGGCGACCUGGUCCUUGACUGACGCUGAGGCGCGAAAGCGUGGGGAGCAAACAGG
rnacentral:rRNA from 1 species